rnacentral:rRNA from 1 species
UACGUAGGGGCCUAGCGUUGUCCGGAUUUAUUGGGCGUAAAGAGCUCGUAGGCGGUUUGUCGCGUCUUCCGUGAAAACUGGGGGCUUAACUUCCAGCUUGCGGUGGAUACGGGCUGACUGGAGUGCGGCAGGGGAGACUGGAAUUCCUGGUGUAGCGGUGAAAUGCGCAGAUAUCCGGAGGAACACCAGUGGCGAAGGCGGGUC